AGGCAAGAUGUUGGCAUAGCUGAUGACUAGGCUCAGCUCUGUCACAUGCUGCCAUU
rnacentral:pre_miRNA from 1 species